UAAUGUCUGGGAAACUGCCCGAUGGAGGGGGAUAACUACUGGAAACGGUAGCUAAUACCGCAUAACGUCGCAAGACCAAAGAGGGGGACCUUCGGGCCUCUUGCCAUCGGAUGUGCCCAGAUGGGAUUAGCUAGUAGGUGGGGUAACGGCUCACCUAGGCGACGAUCCCUAGCUGGUCUGAGAGGAUGACCAGCCACACUGGAACUGAGACACGGUCCAGACUCCUACGGGAGGCAGCAGUGGGGAAUAUUGCACAAUGGGCGCAAGCCUGAUGCAGCCAUGCCGCGUGUAUGAAGAAGGCCUUCGGGUUGUAAAGUACUUUCAGCGAGGAGGAAGGCAUUAAGGUUAAUAACCUUGGUGAUUGACGUUACUCGCAGAAGAAGCACCGGCUAACUCCGUGCCAGCAGCCGCGGUAAUACGUAGGGUGCAAGCGUUAAUCGGAAUUACUGGGCGUAAAGCGCACGCAGGCGGUCUGUCAAGUCGGAUGUGAAAUCCCCGGGCUCAACCUGGGAACUGCAUCCGAAACUGGCAGGCUAGAGUCUUGUAGAGGGGGGUAGAAUUCCAGGUGUAGCGGUGAAAUGCGUAGAGAUCUGGAGGAAUACCG
rnacentral:rRNA from 1 species